GGCGCUAUGGUGUAGUGGCAGCACUUGGGAUUCUGAUUAUUCGUCUUCCCACAACCCAGGUUCGAACCCUGGUAGUGCCU